GCUGGGCAUGGUGGCUCAUGCCUGUAAUCCCAGCUACUUGGGAGGCUGAGGCAGGAGAAUCGCUUGAACCAGGGUGGUGGAGGUCGCAGUGAGCCGAGGUCAUGCCACUGCAUGCCAGCCUGGUGACAAAGUGAGACUCUGUCUCAA
rfam:Homo sapiens chromosome 6, GRCh38 reference primary assembly.